AUUGAACGCUGGCGGCAGGCUUAACACAUGCAAGUCGAGCGGGGUGAUGGUGCUUGCACUAUCACUUAGCGGCGGACGGGUGAGUAAUGCUUAGGAAUCUGCCUAUUAGUGGGGGACAACAUCUCGAAAGGGAUGCUAAUACCGCAUACGUCCUACGGGAGAAAGCAGGGGAUCACUUGUGACCUUGCGCUAAUAGAUGAGCCUAAGUCGGAUUAGCUAGUUGGUGGGGUAAAGGCCUACCAAGGCGACGAUCUGUAGCGGGUCUGAGAGGAUGAUACGCCACACUGGGACUGGAACACGGCCCAGACUCCUACGGGAGGCAGCAGUGGGGAAUAUUGGACAAGGGGGGGAACCCUGAUCCAGCCAUGCCGCGUGUGUGAAGAAGGCCUUAUGGUUGUAAAGCACUUUAAGCGAGGAGGAGGCUCUUUUGGUUAAUACCCAAGAUGAGUGGACGUUACUCGCAGAAUAAGCACCGGCUAACUCUGUGCCAGCCGCCGCCGUAA
rnacentral:rRNA from 1 species